GUGCUCACUCCGAACAGUUGGUUUAUUUUAAUCAGUGAAAGAAAGAAUAUAACACAGGAAAGGAGGGUAUAAGGAUGUAGGGGCAAUCACACACGAAGAUCUAUAGCUUUAAGGAAAACAUAUAUAUGGGACAUGUAAUCAAGGUCUAACCGAGCCAACACAUCUCUCACCGGCACAUUGGGCUGUCUUCCUCGGGCCCGAAGGGAGUUUUUUAAAUUCGAUCUGGCGACCAGAUAUACCUCGCACGACCAAACAAUGUGCUCGAUGUCGUGAUAACCUUGGCCACAAACGCAGAGAUUGCUGCUGGCAAGAUUGAAAUGGAAGAGUAGUGCAUCUAACGAACAGUGAUUGGACAUGAGUCGGGAGAAGGUGCGAAUAAAGUCCCGACUCAAGUCCAGACUUUUGAGCCACGGUUUGAGGCUAACCUUAGGGAUAAUCGAGUGAAACCACCGGCCCAAUUCAUCUUCAUUCCACUUGCGUUGCCAGUUAGCGAUGGUAUUUUUGCGGACUAAAGAAUAAAAUUCAUUGAAGGCGAUUUGACGCUGAUAAAUAUCGCCUUCAAUUGCACCUACCUUUGCCAAUGAGUCAGCCCUCUCAUUACCCGGAAUGGAGCAAUGUGAAGGGACCCAGAUAAAGGUAAUGACAUAACAGCGUCUGGAUAAAGCACUAAAAAUUUCUCGUAUUCUCUCAAGGAAGUACGGCGAGUGCUUUUCCGGCCUCACUGAACGGAUAGCUUCGACAGAGCUAAGACUAUCCGUUACAAUGUAAUAGUGUUCAACAGGUCGUGAGGCGACGCUGUCCAGCGCCCAAUGAAUUGCUGCCAAUUCAGCAAUAUACACUGAGCAAGGAUUCUGAAGACUGUGUGAGGUGCUAAAAAAUUCGUUGAACACUCCAAAUCCUGUGGACUCGUUUAUAGUGGACCCAUCAGUAAAGUACAUAUUAUCACAAUUGAUACCCCCAUACUUUUCAUCGAAGAUCGUUGGAGCGAUCCUCGAUCGUUGGUAAUCUGAAUAUCCAUGGAUAUCUUGCUUCAUGGACAGAUCAAAAUGCACAGAGGAAUUGAUGUAGUCAGGGAAACAAACACGGUUGGGAAUAUACGAAGAAGGAUCAACCUGCAUGGAGAUGAAUUCAUGAUAUGAAUUCAUGAAUCCGGAGUGGAAAUUUAGCUCGAUCAGCCGCUCAAAAUUUCCGAUCACCAAUGGGUUCAUGACCUUACACCGGAUGAAGAACCGAAGAGAUAAUAAAUUGAAGCGAUCUUUUAGUGGGAGUAGGCCUGCCAAAACCUCGAGACUCAUGGUAUGCGUUGAGGGCAUACAUCCCAACGCGAUACGGAGACAAGGAUACUGAAUUCGCUCGAGUUUAAUGAGGUGUGUUUUGGCAGCUGAUUGAAAACAGAAACUGCCAUACUCUAUCACUGAGAGAAUAGUUGUUCGAUACAACAUUAUAAGAUCUUCUGGGUGGGCUCCCCACCAGGUGCCUGUAAUUGUACGGAGAAAGUUUAUUCUUUGUUGGCAUUUUUUACUCAGAUACCUAAUAUGGGCUCCCCAAGUACAUUUGGAGUCGAACCAGACCCCAAGAUACUUGAAUGACAUAGCAUGAGUGAUCGGUUUACUCAAAAGUUGAAGCUUUGGUUUUGCUGGUAUAUGCUUCCUAGAAAAAACCACCAUCUCUGUUUUCUUCGUGGAGAAUUCGAUCCCUAGCCCAAUGGCCCAGGUUGAAAAAUUGUUCAAAGUAUCUUGUAAGGGUCCUUGCAGGUCGGAUUCGUUUGAUCCUACGACAGACACCACUCCAUCAUCUGCAAGUUGUCUUAGGCUGCAAUUUUGUGUAAGGCAAUUGUCGAUGUCGCUUACAUAGAAGUUGUACAAAAGGAGGCUUAAACAUGAGCCCUGGGGGAGGCCCAUGUAAGAGACCCGACUUACUGCCGAAUCUUCGUGAGAAAAGUUCAAAUGUUUCUCACAAAGCUAGUUAUAUAACAUAUUAUUCAAUAGAGGCGGCAGACCCCGAGAGUGUAAUUUGUCCGACAAAACCUCUAUUGAAACAGAAUCGAAGGCCCCCUUUAUGUCCAAGAAUACUGAAGCCAUUUGUUUUUUUUCGGCGUAAGCCAUUUGAAUUUCUGAAGAAAGCAACGCAAGACAAUCAUUCGUUCCCUUGCCCCUGCGGAACCCAUAUUGUGUAUCUGAGAGCUGGCCAUUCGUUUCAACCCAUCGAUCAAGGCGAAACAAGAUCAUUUUCUCCAACAAUUUCCGUAUACAAGACAGCAUUGCUAUUGGGCGGUACGAAUUAAAGUCGGACGCGGGUUUUCCGGGUUUUUGAAUAGCUAUAACUCGUACUUGUCUCCAAUCAUCUGAAACAAUAUUAUUCUCCAGAAACCGAUUGAAUAAAUUCAACAAGCGAUGUUUCGCCACAUCAGGGAGGUUUUUCAGCAAGUUGAACUUAAUUCUAUCCGAUCCCGGAGCAGAAUUGUUACAUGAGAGCAGAGCAAGAGAGAAUUCUACCAUCGAAAACUCGGAAUCAAGAUCGCACCUACCUUGUGGUAUAUCUCGAACAAUUUUUUGCACAGGAGCGGAAUCAGGACAAACCUUCCGUGCAAAAUUAAAAAUCCUUCGAUGUGAAUAUUCUUCGCUUUCGUUCGUUGAAGAGCGAUUUCUCAUGUUUCGAGCUACUUUCCAUAAUUUUUUCAUUGACGUUUCUCGUGACAAACCUCCCACGAAAUUUCGCCAAUAAGCACGUUUUUCCCCUUUGAUUAAGUUUUUAAACUGAUCUUCAAGGGCUAAAUACGUUUGAAAAUUUUCAGGGGUUCCACGUUUCCGAAAAGCUUUAAAUGCAUUCGAUUUUUCUACAUAAAGCUUGGAACAUUGGCUAUCCCACCAUAGAUUGGGAGGCCUUCGGGAAAUGGUGGAACCUGGGAUGGGUUUCGUUUGAGCGCGAACCGCGCUGUCAUAGAUCAAACGAGAAAGGAAGUUAUACUCCUCCAAUGGAGGUAAACCAUCUCUGGAAUUGAUGGCUAGAGCAAUCGCGUCCGCAUAUUUUUUCCAGUCAAUGUGUCUUGUGAGGUCAUAUGCCAUGUUUAUAGAUUCAGAAGAAUUCGACCCAAUGGUGAUGGAAAUUUUGAUUGGCAAGUGAUCACUACUGUUGGUGUUCUGGAUUACAUUCCACUUGCAAUCUAACGAUAGUGAAUUCGAGCAAAGCGAGAGGUCAAGAGCACUUGGGUUAGCAGGAGGUUUAGGUACACGUGUUGUUUCCCCAGUGUUCAAAACGGUCAUAUUGAAGUUGUUACAAAGGUCAUAUAUCAACAAUGAACGAUUGUCGUCGUACUGUUCCCCCAGGCAGUUCCGUGAGAGUUGAAGUCUCCCAAGAUCAAUCGUGGCUCAGGAAGGAGUGAGCACAUGUCAUCAAGUUGUUUGCGGCUAACCGCAGCUCUCGGAGGCCAAUACAAGCUGAAAAUACAGAGGUCUUUGCCUCUGAUGUUUGCAUGACAAGCAACAGCUUCGAUCCCUCCAAUAGGUGGAAGGUCAAUUCUAAAAAAUGAGUGGCACUUAUUGAUCCCCAAUAGCACCCCUCCGUAUCUAUCAUCACGGUCCAAGCGUAUAAUAUUAAAAUCGUGGAAAGAGAUAUCAUCUCGCGAAGAAAGCCAAGUUUCGGACAGAGCAAAAACAUCACAAUUGAAGUCCAAGAUUUUCACUUCCAUUGAGGGGAGCUUCUUGAACUUGCCUUUUCCUUCUGCUUUUAUUUGUUCGCUCGUCAGACCCGUUUCAGUUAUCACCCCCUCAAUUUCUACGUUAUGGGAGGGUAUAAAUGUACGAUAUUCGAGAGUGAAAUGUUGAUCAGCAACAAUCUCGUUUGCGUGUUUCCGUUCAUUCACGACAACUCGCAAUUUGUUCGGUCUAACCCUGCGAAUUUCAGAUACAGAAGUGUAUCUGGCCAGAUCUUUCAUGAUCUGAAUCACGUUAAGGUUUUUUCCUUUCGGUUUUGGCCGGAGGAAAACAACCCAAGGGCCAGUUCCAGGUGCAUCUUCUGGAUAAACUCUGACACGUGGAGCGGAGACAACAGAGGGGGAAGACGAGGACGAGGACGAGGACGAGGACGAGGAUGAGGAUGAGGACGAGGACGAGGAUUGGGUUGGAUCGGAAGCAUCAGAAGGGGGAAGCGAAAUCGAUGAUGGGAGAGGGGGAGUGGAAGUAACAGUAGGUUGAGAAGGGAGGCUUGCAAUUUUCUUAGAGGGGGGCUUGGUAGGAUGAGCGGAUUCGUCCCCAGAAGAAUUAUCUUCCUUAUGAGGGACUCGUUUAUGUUUUUUCCCAGAUCUUGUAUGAGAUUUAUUAUCGGAGAUCUCCAUCUCUGGAGAUCCUCCACUAUUCUCCAUUUUACAAAAAUUUCUGUUCAAUUUCUAAUUUAUUAUUGAUUUUAACAAUAAUCUAAAAAAAAUUAGCAAAAAAAAUUAUGAUAAUAAUAUUAAACAAUGAACAAAUGAAUUGAAUAAUAAUAUUAAUAAUAAAGAUGUGUAUCUUAAUAUAAAAGUUGUUACAAUAAUGUGCUCUAGACAGAGGCUACGCGCUUAUGAUAAUAAUAUUAAACAAUGAACAAAUGAAUUGAAUAAUAAUAUUAAUAAUAAAUAUGUGUAUCUUAAUAUAAAAGUUGUUACAAUAAUGUGCUCUAGACAGAGGCUACGCGCUACGGAGACAACACAAUAGCGCAAGAAUAGCUUACGGAGCCACGUGAUGAUGAAUCCCGUUUGCGACAGUCACGCGAUGGCGAUCCCGUUAUGCCGAAUCAGUUUUCAAUUGAAUAGCCGCAAUCCGGCUCGCUGCAAGAGCGCUGCUUCCUUUGUUCCUUCGUUCCACUUCACAAAAGGUCAGGUCGAAAGCGGACAGCAAUGACCUUCACUCGUACACGAUUCACUCGUACCAAUAGCGCAAUAGCAAAAGUGGCAACGCACAAUACCGACACUGAACUUUACUCGUCAAGAGUUAUUUAGCGAAUGACAGGUAAUUUUGAACAGAAAAAAUUUUAUGUUGGUACAAUAAUAAUAGUGUGCACAGUGUCUUAGAAUAUCAACAAAUAUUCACGAGAAACGAAUAUGAUUUUGUUCCAGUGUAAAUGACUUUUUUUCAGCUUGAAACACACUGCCCUCAUUAUAUUGGUGACAAUUACAAACGAGUUCAUUUUGUUCAUAUCGCUGUUGCAUGAGCAAAUUUUCUAUAAUGAAUGAAUGCGACAUUGAGUGGGGUUCAUAACUUCGCUGUUAUUUAUACUUUGGAUAUCAAAAGCAACAAAUUGAUAUUCAUAACAUCCGAAACGAUAUUCGUUCUGGCAGUGAAUUCAAGUUCAAAAUAAAUUUUAUUUGGCGAGACGGUAGCAAUGGCAUAUGCAGAAUGGAUACAACGAGUGGUUUUAGCUACCGUCAAGUCAUUUGCGACAUCGGAAAUUUCAUAAGGUAUUUCCGAUUACGGCAUUCGGCAACUGCAAAACCCAACCGCACACAGCAGCCUCAGGUUAGAAGUUUUUUUUGACGUAGGACUACGUCUAACCGGAAGAUAUAGGGGGUGAAAUGAAAAUCUAGACACUGAACAAGUAGGAAAAAAUGCAAGAUUUGGAACGCUUAUAACUCGAGCAUUUCUCAAUAGAUCGCAAAGAUUUUUGCAUCAAUUGAUAGGAAAUAUAUCUACGCAUCUAUCAUAACGAAUAACAUUUCAUUUUUCUUGAGAUAAAUAAUUGAAUAAUUGUGAAAUAUCAAGCAUUGUCCAAAUGCACUUUGUGCCCAUUUUUGAUUGGUCCAUUUUGUGCUCCUCAAAUCGUACCGACCAAAACGGGCAACCAGAGCAGCAGCGAAAUACAACGAGGCACGAUUGGAAAGGAAAAAGAAAAAAAUGAAGAAACAUUGGUUGCAGUCUCACGCGUGCGUAAUUCUCGAGCCAGCCAGUCAGCUUAAAAAUCCCCGCUCCGCUGCGGUAACGCUCAUUCUUAUCCAAACCGUACACCACAUCGUUUUGUAUCACAUCACAUCAACAAACCAACACAAGCAGCCAUGGUUGGUUAUGGCAAAGGAGGAAAAGUGAAGGGAAAGGUAAAAUCCCGCUCGAACCGUGUUUGUCUGGAGUUCCCCGCAAGGGUAGUUAGGCCGAGCGUGUUAGUGCAGCAGUGCACCAGUCCACCUAGCCGGCGUUAUAUAGUUUUGGCCGCCGAAGUGAUCGAGUUAGCUGGCAAAUCUGCUCGCGACGAUAAGAAAACCCGCAUUCGGAACAGAACACAUUCGGUUCGGUGCACAUCAAGACAACAGGCAGUUGCAGCGAGUGGCGAGUGGCAAACGCAAUCGCAAAACGGCAGCUGGUAGCAGAAGAAAAAAGUUUGUUCUUUAUACAAACUGCUUUGGUGGCAAAUCCAGAACAAGGCGGCAUCGAGGGCGCUCGAAAUUGUUUUUUUCAAAACCACGAUAAAACACGGCGCUUAUCAGGGCCAUUAAACCUUUAAAAAAAGAGUUUACGAAAUACAGUUCAAUGCAUUCUAAAAUAAUAUCUAAAAUAAUAAUAAAACACAAAUUGAUUUUUUCAUAAUUUGUUUGCCAAGAUCUGAUGAGUAUGUGAAUUUGGCAGUUGUUCUGAGCUUAUUGAUAGUUGGGGACUUUCCUGAUUAUUCAAUUUUCACCAAUUCUUAAAUUGUUUCCAGAUUGAAAGUACAGUAAUUUACAAUUAGUUUGACAUUUAGCUAAUUGGACGGACAUGUAAUGCGACAUAUUUAGUUGGACCUUUUUGUUAACAUAGAGUUCGGGGUCCAAAUUAUGACCCCACAUAGAAAGUCGACACUGUACCACUGUCAUCGCAAAUGUUCAAUUACAGGUUAAAAUUACCUCCAAUCCGACACUGAAUGGUGGUAAUGCGUCGUGCCAUUGAAUGUAAUUUACUGUACAAUAUGCCACAAGCUGGAUGGGAAAAAAUUUUCCAACUGUGAAAGCUGUGGCGAGUGGCAAACGUAAUCGCUAAACAGGAAGGUUUAGCCGAAAAAUAUGGGAAUAUCGAGUGAUAAUAAAACAAUAAACUCUUUAGAUUGAAGAUAAUUUUUUGAUCCUGAAAAGGACCCUUUUUAGCCUGCAUGUGAAUCCAACGAGCGAACAAAUCGUAAUGAAUGUAUUUUUUGCCAUCGCUGCCUUUUAACGCUCAUUCGUUCGUCUCGUUGGACUCGCCCCUUUGGCUGAGUCUGCCGAUUGGUCUCUAUCCUGUGAGUGUGUACCGCUAGAGUACAAAACGCGCGGACCCCAAAAAAUAUCUCAUUUUCUUUCAAGCCGUAAAUCAGUGUGGUUGUAUGGCAUCGUUUCACAUCACAUCGCAUCAACGGAUUGAUGUCGGAGCACCAGUAUACCUAAUAGCGGUUAUAGAAUUUCGGCCGCCGGAGUGCUCGAGUUGGCUUGCGAAGCUGCUCACGACAAUAAGAAAACCAGCCUACAGAACAGAGCACAUUCGGCUCGGUGGCAACAACUAGUUUCAGCGAGUGGCAAACGCAAUCGCAAAACGGCAGCAGGUAGAAGAAGGAAAAAGUUUGUUUAUACAGACUGCUUUGGUGGCAAAACCAGCCACCGUAAAACACGGCGCUUUUCAGGGCCAUUAAACCUUUCAAAGAAGAGUUAUUAAAAGUUUUUUACAAUACCAAUGCAUUCUAAAGUGACAUAAUAUGACAUAUAAUAUAAACUGAUUUAUUUUGGUUAUGCUUUUUCUUGAACUUAUUGGUGGUUGGGGUCUUUUAAAUUGAUCAUUCAGUUUUCACAAACCCAUGCAUGGUUUCCGAAUUAAAAGUGGCUUCACAUUGUAUGCAGGAUGGCAUUAACGAAUUUUCUCGGUAGCAAGAACUGCUUUCUUUGGUUGAUAACUGAUGUUGAAAAUUGACUGACGUUACAUCUGCAUUGUAUAGAAAAAUAACUAAGGAGCAACAUGAUGAGCUAUGUAUUUCCUGCUGCUCUGUUCUUAUUUUAAAGGACUUUAAUCCGAAGGUCAUCCGUCCCUGUAUUUACUGUUGGUUUUUCAGAACGCUUAUAGCUCGUUUAUUUCUCGACAGAUCGUAAAGUUCGUCUCCAAAACCUCAGUUCUUUUUCAUUUUUAUUUACUUUGUUUGCGGAGACUACAAAUCUUACAAUUCAUUCGUCUCCGAAACCAUAGUUUAAGGUACGGUAAUGUGCUCAAUAGUGAAAUAUAUGAUAGUGAAUGAGCUGAUGACCACCUAUGCAUUCCCUAUCACAGCCAUCAGUUUGAUUGUACGAUAUGUUCAUACGCCGAAAGAUGCUCGGCGUUGAACAUUUAAUAAGUACAAAGCCUUCAGAAAAAAAUCAAGAAUCAAUUUUGUAAAAAAAAACGCAAAAACACAACACCAAAGGUUCUUUUCAGAACCCCCAACAUGUUCAUAAAAAGUAAACAGUAAAGUAAUCCAUUUUUUCAGGUAGAUAGGUAGGUAUUCACGUAGGAGAAGAAAAUGAAACAAUAUUUUUAAAAUACAUAUUUAGCAAAAGCUGUCCCCUUUGUAUAGUCCUACGUCACUCCGGUUAUGUCCCCGACAUUACCCACCCGUCUUUUUUUUUUAUUAAUUCGUUUAUUUUUACAGGCUCAGUUACUUAAGUUUAAAGGAGCCGAAUUCUUAAAUAUAUUUUUAAAACUAUAUAUAUAUAAACAAUUUUCUUACAUCUAUGGUUAGUAAGGUGGAAAACCGAUUACUCGCGGUGUACUCGAGUUUAGAAGGGUGACAUAUUUUUAGGAGAAGGAUGGGAUAUAAAGAAAUUGUAACAAUGUUGAUGAACACUCAAUUCAUAAAUCUAUUCGUAUAUCUAUAGUUUAUUUACAUUUCAACUUAUUCUACUAUUUAUAGCAAGGGGACGAAUUACCCGCAAAGGAAGGAAAGGAGGGUAUAAGGAUGUAGGGACAAUCACACACGAAGAUCUAUAGCUUUAAGGAAAACAUAUAUAUGGGACAUGUAAUCAAGGUCUAACCGAGCCAACACAUCUCUCACCGGCACAUUGGGCUGUCUUCCUCGGGCUCGAAGGGAGUUUUCUAAAUUCGAUCUGGCGACCAGAUACACCUCGCAUGACCAAACAACGUGCUCGAUGUCGUGAUAACCUUGGCCACAAACGCAGAGAUUGCUGCUGGCAAGAUUGAAACGGAAGAGUAGUGCAUCUAACGAACAGUGAUUGGACAUGAGUCGGGAGAAGGUGCGAAUAAAGUCCCGACUCAAAUUCAGACUUUUGAACCACGGUUUGAGGCUAACCUUUGGGAUAAUCGAGUGAAACCACCGGCCCAAUUCAUCUUCAUUCCACUUGCGUUGCCAGUUAGCGAUGGUAUUUUUGCGAACUAAAGAAAAAAAUUCAUUGAAGGCGAUUUGACGCUGAUAUAUAUCGCCUUCAAUUGCACCUACCUUUGCUAAUGAGUCAGCCCUCUCAUUACCCGGAAUUGAGCAAUGUGAAGGGACCUCACUGAACGGAUAGCUUCGACAGAGCUAAGACUAUCCGUUACAAUGUAAUAGUGUUCAACAGGUCGUGAGGCGACGCUGUCCAGCGCCCAGUAUAUCGCUGCCAAUUCAGCAAUAUAUACCGAGCAAGGAUUCUGAAGACUGUGUGAGGUGCUAAAAAAUACGUUGAACACUCCAAAUCCUGUGGACUCAUUCAUAGAGGACCCAUCAGUAAAGUAUAUAUUAUCACAAUUGAUACGCCCAUACUUUGCAUUGAAGAUUGUAGGAACGAACCCCAAUCUAAGAUAAUCUGGAUUUUCAUGGAUUUUCUCCUUCAUGAACAGAUCGAAAUGUACAGAGGAAUUGAUGUAGUCAGGAAAACAAACACGGUUGGGAAUAUACGAAGAAGGAUCAACCUGCAUGGAGAUGAAUUCAUGAUAUGAAUUCAUGAAUCCGGAGUGAAAAUUUAGCUCGAUCAGCUGCUCAAAAUUUCCGAUCACCAAUGGGUUCAUGACCUUACACCGGAUGAAGAACCGAAGAGAUAAUAAAUUGAAGCGAUCUUUUAGUGGGAGUACCCCUGCCAAAACCUCGAGGCUCAUGGUAUGCGUUGAGGGCAUACAUCCCAACGCGAUACGGAGACAAAGAUACUGAAUUCGCUCGAGUUUAAUGAGGUGUGUUUUGACAGCUGAUUGAAAACAGAAACUGCCAUACUCCAUUACUGAGAGAAUAGUUGUUCGAUACAACAUAAUAAGAUCUUCGGGAUGGGCUCCCCACCAGGUGCCGGUAAUUGUACGGAGAAAGUUUAUUCUUUGUUGACAUUUUUUACUCAGAUACCUAAUAUGGGCCCCCAAGUAGAUUUGGAGUCGAACCAGACCCCAAGAUACUUGAAUGACAUAGCAUGAGUGAUCGGUUUACCCAAAAGUUGAAGCUUUGGUUUUGCUGGUCUAUGCUUCCUAGAAAAAACCACCAUCUCUGUUUUCUCCGUGGAGAAUUCGAUC